AGUCAGUUGGUGCCGGAGGCGGCGCGGAGGCAGGAGGCGUUGUCCGACUAGGGGCCUCUGCCCCGCCAGGAUGUUACCGGGCUUGGCCGCCGCCGCUGCGACCCAUAGAUGUAGCUGGUCCUCACUGUGCCGGCUCCGUCUGCGCUGCAGGGCGGCGGCCCACGGCUCCAGCGACCGCCAGGGAUGGCAGAAUUUGGUGACAUUUGGAAGCUUUUCAAACAUGGUUUCAUGUAGUCCUUCAUAUGUUUGUAUACUCAGUCAAGUAAAGUCGUAUUCCACGAAUAUUCAGAAAGAAGGACAAGGAUCACAGUCUCUCAGAGUGGAAAAAGUAUCAUCUCUUGAUGAAACAGCAGAAAAUAUAGGUGCAGAACUCAAAGCUCCACUUAAGCAAGACCCUCUCCAAGUAAGAGUUAAAGCAGUUCUUAAGAAAAGGGAGUAUGGAUCAAAGUACGCUCAGAAUAAUUUCAUUACUGGAGUCAGAGCAAUGAAUGAGUUCUGCCUUAAAUCCAGUGAUCUAGACCAACUUCGAAAAAUUAGACGACGAAGUCCCCAUGAAGAUACUGAGUCCUUUACUGUAUACUUGAGAUCAGAUGUGGAAGCAAAAUCUUUGGAAGUCUGGGGAAGCCCUGAAGCUCUUGCCAGAGAAAAGAAACUGCGUAAGGAAGCAGAGAUAGAAUACAGAGAACGGCUGUUUAGAAAUCAAAAAAUAUUAAGAGAAUAUAGAGAUUUCUUGGGAAACACCAAGCCACGCUCCAGAGCCGCAUCAGUGUUCUUUAAAGGACCAGGAAAAGUGGUGAUGGUUGCCAUUUGCAUCAAUGGGUUAAACUGUUUCUUUAAAUUUCUUGCCUGGAUUUAUACGGGUUCAGCAAGUAUGUUCUCAGAAGCUAUACACUCACUGUCUGAUACUUGUAAUCAGGGUUUACUAGCAUUGGGCAUCAGUAAGUCUAUUCAAACACCAGAUCCUUCUCACCCUUAUGGAUUUUCAAAUAUGCGCUAUAUUUCUUCGCUAUUUAGUGGUGUUGGUAUUUUCAUGAUGGGUGCAGGACUAUCGUGGUACCAUGGAGUCAUGGGAUUGCUUCAUCCUCAACCAAUAGAAUCCCUUCUAUGGGCAUAUUGUAUUUUAGCAGGAUCAUUGGUAUCUGAAGGAGCCACACUUCUUGUUGCUAUAAAUGAACUUCGUAGGAGUGCUCGGGCCAAAGGAAUGUCAUUUUACAGAUAUGUAAUGGAAAGUCGUGAUCCUAGUACAAAUGUGAUAUUAUUGGAAGAUACUGCAGCAGUAUUGGGAGUGAUAAUAGCAGCUUCUUGUAUGGGCCUUACUUCUAUAACAGGCAAUCCGCUGUAUGACAGCCUAGGUUCUCUGGGUGUGGGCACCUUAUUAGGUGUGGUAUCAGCUUUCCUCAUCUACACUAACACAGAAGCGCUCUUAGGGCGAUCCAUCCAGCCAGAGCAAGUCCAGCGGCUUACUGAACUCCUGGAGAAUGACCCAUCAGUAAGGGCAGUUCAUGAUGUUAAAGCCACAGAUCUGGGAUUAGGUAAAGUCAGAUUUAAGGCAGAAGUAGAUUUCGAUGGACGAGUUGUUACGAGAUCAUAUUUGGAGAAACAAGAUUUUGACCAAAUGCUACAGAAACGAAAUCCUGAAGUUCGACAUGUAGAUUUGGAGAUACUGUAA